rnacentral:rRNA from 1 species
UGCCCUAUGGGUUGUAAACUGCUUUUAUAUAGGAAGAAACACUCCCACGUGUGGGGGCUUGACGGUACUAUAUGAAUAAGGAUCGGCUAACUCCGUGCCAGCAGCCGCGGAAUACGGAGGAUCCAAGCGUUAUCCGGAAUCAUUGGGUUUAAAGGGUCCGCAGGCGGCCUGUUAGUCAGAGGUGAAAUCCUACAGCUCACUGUAGAACUGCCUUUGAACUGAUAGGCUUGAGUUAUUGUGAAGUGGUUAGAAUGUGUGGUGUAGCGGUGAAAUGCUUAGAUAUCACACAGAAUACCCAUUGCGAAGGCAGAUCACUAACACUAUACUGACGCUCAUGGACGAAAGCGUGGGGAGCGAACAGGAUUAGAUACCCUGGUAGU